UGGGGAAUAUUGGACAAUGGGCGAAAGCCUGAUCCAGCAAUGCCGCGUGCAGGAUGAAGGCCUUCGGGUUGUAAACUGCUUUUGUACGGAACGAAAAAAGCUCCUUCUAAUACAGGGGGCCCAUGACGGUACCGUAAGAAUAAGCACCGGCUAACUACGUGCCAGCAGCCGCGGUAAUACGUAGGGUGCGAGCGUUAAUCGGAAUUACUGGGCGUAAAGCGUGCGCAGGCGGUUAUGUAAGACAGAUGUGAAAUCCCCGGGCUCAACCUGGGAACUGCAUUUGUGACUGCAUGGCUAGAGUACGGUAGAGGGGGGAUGGAAUUCCGCGUGUAGCAGUGAAAUGCGUAGAUAUGCGGAGGAACACCGAUGGCGAAGGCAAUCCCCUGGACCUGUACUGACGCUCAUGCACGAAAGCGUGGGGAGCAAACAGGAUUAGAUACCCUGGGUAGUCCACGCCCUAAAACGAUGUCAACUGGUUGUUGGGGAAUUAGUUUUCUCAGUAACGAAGCUAACGCGUGAAGUUGACCGCCUGGGAGUACGGCCGCAAGGUUGAAACUCAAAUGAAUUGACGG
rnacentral:rRNA from 1 species